AGUGAACGCUGGCGGUAGGCCCAACACAUGCAAGUCGAACGGCAGCACAGUAAGAGCUUGCUCUUACGGGUGGCGAGUGGCGGACGGGUGAGGAAUACAUCGGAAUCUACUUUUUCGUGGGGGAUAACGUAGGGAAACUUACGCUAAUACCGCAUACGACCUACGGGUGAAAGCAGGGGAUCUUCGGACCUUGCGCGAUUGAAUGAGCCGAUGUCGGAUUAGCUAGUUGGCGGGGUAAAGGCCCACCAAGGCGACGAUCCGUAGCUGGUCUGAGAGGAUGAUCAGCCACACUGGAACUGAGACACGGUCCAGACUCCUACGGGAGGCAGCAGUGGGGAAUAUUGGACAAUGGGCGCAAGCCUGAUCCAGCCAUACCGCGUAGGUGAAGAAGGCCUUCGGGUUGUAAAGCCCUUUUGUUGGGAAAGAAAAGCAGCAGGUUAAUACCCCGCUGUUCUGACGGUACCCAAAGAAUAAGCACCGGCUAACUUCGUG
rnacentral:rRNA from 1 species